UCCGUCUCCAGGCAGACUCGCCCGCGCCUUCCCGCCUCUGGGCCGGACUCUCCUGGCCCGCUCCUCAUGGCAGGCAGGCUGCUGAAGCGGGGAAGGGGGGGCCAGGCCAAGGAGCGGGAGGCGCCUCUGCGUGGACGGGUCGUGUCGGGGAAGCAGCCUCCUCUCUCCGCCUCCGCUCGGCGAGGUUUCCCGGCUUCCUAAAGUGUCGCUUGAGAACCUGAAGUGGUCUGGAAUGAUGCUGUUGCCGAAUCCUCAGCCGUUUCUCCCCCUUUGCGAUGGAGUGGGACUGAGUCAGGUGAGCAGAAGGAUUCCUGGGAGAGGAGGACGGGGCCUGCCGGGGUGCCUUUGGUUCCAGGCUUAAUUGUCAAAUAUCUGUUGAAACAGACAAGAUAGAAUGUGUUUCCUUAGAAGUGAAGUACUGAAGGCACAAUUACAAGGAGGAAAAAAAUGAAGAGAAAACUAAAUAGAUGCCUCACCCUCACUCAUCGCCCGGACUUGCAGCGCUGUAUUACCCGCCCUGCCCUUGCAACUGUUCCUGCGCUAGCCCUUGCCCGCCCUCUUCGAUCUGAACAUGCCCACUGUUCUCGGCUACUGGUUGAUGGUGGUUGUUGUUCUUAUGUUGUUACAAUACUUGUUUUUUGGUUUUAUUGUUUUAAUGAUUGAAAUGCAAUUGUAUAUUAAUUGUGCUAUAUUUUAUUCUGUUUUUGCUGGGCAUAGUCCCCACGUAAGUCAUCCCGAGUCCCUUCGGGGAGAUGGUGGCGGGAUAUAAGAACAAACUUAUUAUUAUCUAUACACAUGAUAAAAGUGAAAAUCUG